rnacentral:lncRNA from 1 species
UUCUCUGAGCAAUAUGUUGCCCCUAUAAAAAGUUUAAAAACAUAUUAAUAUUGAAAAAUACAAAAAACAUUUCCUUAGAAUUCAAUUUACUUGUCUAUCAAAUACAUUAGCUUAUAAGGUCUUUGAUGUUACAGCUGUGUCUUGUCCACAUACUCCACAUACCUACCAGCGUCCUGGCCUUGAACAACUUCAAGAAGUUUUCUACUGAUGAUCUAUGUUAUCUACAUUUAAAAGAAGA